CUGGCGGCAGGCCUAACACAUGCAAGUCGAGCGCACCUUCGGGUGAGCGGCGGACGGGUUAGUAACGCGUGGGAACGUACCCUUUUCUACGGAAUAGCCUUUGGAAACGAAGAGUAAUACCGUAUACGCCCUUUGGGGGAAAGAUUUAUCGGAGAAGGAUCGGCCCGCGUUAGAUUAGAUAGUUGGUGGGGUAACGGCCUACCAAGUCUACGAUCUAUAGCUGGUUUUAGAGGAUGAUCAGCAACACUGGGACUGAGACACGGCCCAGACUCCUACGGGAGGCAGCAGUGGGGAAUCUUAGACAAUGGGCGCAAGCCUGAUCUAGCCAUGCCGCGUGAGUGAUGAAGGCCUUAGGGUCGUAAAGCUCUUUCGCCUGUGAUGAUAAUGACAGUAGCAGGUAAAGAAACCCCGGCUAACUCCGUGCCAGCAGCCGCGGUAAUACGGAGGGGGUUAGCGUUGUUCGGAAUUACUGGGCGUAAAGCGCACGUAGGCGGAUUGGAAAGUUGGGGGUGAAAUCCCGGGGCUCAACCCCGGAACUGCCUUCAAAACUAUCAGUCUAGAGUUCGAGAGAGGUGAGUGGAAUUCCAAGUGUAGAGGUGAAAUUCGUAGAUAUUUGGAGGAACACCAGUGGCGAAGGCGGCUCACUGGCUCGAUACUGACGCUGAGGUGCGAAAGUGUGGGGAGCAAACAGGAUUAGAUACCCUGGUAGUCCACACCGUAAACGAUGAAUGCCAGUCGUCGGGCAGUAUACUGUUCGGUGACACACCUAACGGAUUAAGCAUUCCGCCUGGGGAGUACGGUCGCAAGAUUAAAA
rnacentral:rRNA from 1 species